CAAUUUCAUGGGGACAGCCUUUCUACUUGCUUUACUUGGUGGAUUUUUGUCAGAUGCUUUUUUCUCCACAUACCGCAUCUAUUUGAUAAGUGCUACAAUAGAAUUCAUGGUAAGUUCAAAAAGCUGCUUCAUUCUGAUUCUUUCAUUACUGACACAUAUACUAGGAUCUAAUUGAAUUUUCUUUCUGUCACUGAAGCAAACACUUAGCAUACGCUAAUUCUCUAAAGAAAGCAACAUAAAUGUUAUAAGUAGCAAUAUGAUUACCAAACUGCACAGUAGCCAUAAUUGUUGCCGCUAUAAGGUGAUUCCGUCACAUCCCUUUUGAGGAUACUAUUAAGACCUAUACCAUAGACUAGUAGGUCUUGUUACUGGAAUAUCUCUGGGGUCCUUAAAGAAAGACAAGCCAUAAAAAAUGACUUGUCCGGAACCUAGAAAUGUGCCAAUCUUAAGCUUCAAUGUUCGUUAUAGCAGCCCCACCUGAUUAGCAUCAAAACCUACUACCGGUAUCGAUAAUUUUCAAUAAGGCUCGAGUUUCCCUUCAAUAAGGGAACCCAACCAGCCAGCCAAUAAGAGAAGAAAACAAUUAAGAAAUUGUGCUUGAUUGUCCAAUCAUAUUCCAGGCAACUGGCUAGGUCCCACGGAUUGUGCUAAAAUGAACUUUGUCUAGCAGAAGUUAAUUCUCUCUAUCACUGCCUUAUGGUCCACUUUCUAAUGACAAUGGCUUUUACUUAUAGU
rnacentral:lncRNA from 1 species